rnacentral:rRNA from 1 species
GACGAACGCUGGCGGCGUGCUUAACACAUGCAAGUCGAACGGUGAAGCGCCUUCCUUUUUGGUGGGUGUGGAUGAGUGGCGAACGGGUGAGUAACACGUGAGUAACCUGCCCCCUUCUUCUGGAUAACCGCAUGAAAGUGUGGCUAAUACGGGAUAUUCUGGGUCUGUCGCAUGAUGGGUCUGGGAAAGAUAUUGUUUCGGUGGGGGAUGGGCUCGCGGCCUAUCAGCUUGUUGGUGGGGUGAUGGCCUACCAAGGCGGUGACGGGUAGCCGGCCUGAGAGGGUGGACGGUCACAAUGGGACUGAGACACGGCCCAGACUCCUACGGGAGGCAGCAGUGGGGAAUAUUGCACAAUGGGCGCAAGCCUGAUGCAGCGACGCCGCGUGAGGGAUGGAGGCCUUCGGGUUGUGAACCUCUUUCGCCAGUGAAGCAGGCCUGCCUCGUUUGUGGGUGGGUUGACGGUAGCUGGAUAAGAAGCGCCGGCUAACUAUGUG